rnacentral:rRNA from 1 species
CCUACGGGAGGCAGCAGUGAGGAAUAUUGGUCAAUGGACGCAAGUCUGAACCAGCCAUGCCGCGUGCAGGAAGACGGCUCUAUGAGUUGUAAACUGCUUUUGUACGAGGGUAAACGCAGAUACGUGUAUCUGUCUGAAAGUAGCGUACGAAUAAGGAUCGGCUAACUCCGUGCCAGCAGCCGCGGUAAUACGGAGGAUUCAAGCGUUCUCCGGAUUUCUUGGGUUUAAAGGGUGCGUAGGCGGUCGGAUAAGUUAGAGGUGAAAUCCCGAGGCUCAACUUCGGAAUUGCCUCUGAUACUGUUCGGCUAGAGCGUAGUUGCGGUAGGCGGAAUGUCUGGUGUAGCGGUGACAUGCUUAGAGCUCAUACAGAACACCGAUUGCGAAGGCAGCUUACCAAGCUACUUCUGACGUUGAGGCACGAACGCGUGGGGAGCAAACAGGAUUAGAUACCCUAGUAGUC